rnacentral:rRNA from 1 species
GACAGAGGGUGCAAACGUUGUUCGGAAUUACUGGGCGUAAAGCGAGUGUAGGCGGUCUCAUAAGUCAGGGGUGAAAGCCCCGGGCUCAACCCGGGAAGUGCACUUGAAACUGCGAGGCUAGAGUAUCGGAGAGGUUGGUGGAAUUCUCGGUGUAGAGGUGAAAUUCGUAGAUAUCGAGAGGAACACCGGUGGCGAAGGCGGCCAACUGGACGAAUACUGACGCUGAGACGCGAAAGCGUGGGUAGCAAACAGG